GUAAUACUCCGUUUCUUUGACGCUUGCAGGUUCUUUCAUCGGUGAAUCUGUCUUCUCUGUUAGAUUCUUGUCAGCAGAGAAGUUUCCUUUCUUACAACGCUAUUGUAUGAUUAUAUAAUAAGAACAAUCUUGUCAACAGAGAAGUUUCCUUUCUCUGUUAGAUUCUUGUCAACAGGUUCUCGGUAUACAUAUUUUCCUUUCUUCGGCUGCAUAAUAGUGUUUUCUUCUGUCAUUUUCUAUAUUCUGCGGACGAUAUCUGAUUUGCUGAAAUUUAAGCGAUUGAAGCUGAUUCAUUCUCAUAUGGAAAGAGCUGAAUGCUUUAGGGGUCGUUUGGUAGAUAGUCGAAAUUAUUCCGGGAUUAUAAUUCCGGGACUAAUUUAUCCCAUCUAUUGAGAUUAUUUUAUACCAUCUAAAAGAUGGUAUAAAAUAAUCCCAAUAUAAGUGGGAUAAGAAGGUAUAAGCUGGAAUAUUCCAGCACUAAUUUUUGUACCAUGUUUGGUACAAGGUAUAAAUUUAUCCCUUCUAUCAAACAUGGUAUAAAAAUUAGUGCUGGGAUAUCCCAGCUUAUACCUUAUACCAAAUGACCCUUAGUGUUUAUGACUCCAGGGUAUCACAAGAGGGUUCUCUGGACACUGUUGUUUGUAUUAUAUACUUAUGCAAAAAUCAGUUAAUCCCAAGCUUAUAUAAUUUUUUUUAUAUGUCGCAGGUAGGGUUGCUUAUCGGGCGGAUCGGACGGAUAAUUAUGUUUAACAGUUCGGCUUAUCAGUUAUCGGCUUUUAAAUGUACUAAUCCGCUAGCCAACCGAUAAGAUAUCGGUUGGUUCAGUAUCGGGUUAACAAUUAUCGGAUGGUUAUCGGGCGGUGUAUCGGCUAAAUCUAAGAGAAAAUUAAAAUUAAAAUCACAAAAGAUAGUUCAGCUUCUGCCGACGAAGUUAAAAUCACAGCUUCCAAUCCUUUUGCAACAUUCCCAUAUGUUUGUUACAUAUCAUGCAGUGACUAUAUUACAGUUUGCUUGGACAGUGUUUACACUGGUAAUUCUGCCGUUGUUUCAAAUGUGAAGUAGGUAACUUGUAACUGAAGGCAUUAAUGACUAUUUAUAUUUCCUUAUACAA